rnacentral:rRNA from 1 species
AUUGAACGCUGGCGGCAGGCCUAACACAUGCAAGUCGAACGAGUGGCGGACGGGUGAGUAAUGUCUGGGAAACUGCCCGAUGGAGGGGGAUAACUACUGGAAACGGUAGCUAAUACCGCAUACCAUCGGAUGUGCCCAGAUGGGAUUAGCUAUUAGGUGGGGUAACGGCUCACCUAGGCGACGAUCCCUCGCUGGUCUGAGAGGAUGACCAGCCACACUGGAACUGAGACACGGUCCAGACGCCUACGAGAGGCAGCAGUGGGGAAUAUUGCACAAUGGGCGCAAGCCUGAUGCAGCCAUGCCGCGUGUAUGAAGAAGGCCGUCGGGUUGUAAAGUACUUUCAGCGAGGAGGCGUUACUCGCAGAAGAAGCACCGGCUAACUCCGUGCCAGCAGACGCGGUAAUAC